GAUGAACGCUAGCGGCAGGCUUAAUACAUGCAAGUCGAGGGGCAGCAGGGGUGUAGCAAUACACUCGCUGGCGACCGGCAAACGGGUGCGGAACACGUACGCAACCUACCCAAAACUGGGGAAUAGCCCGGGGAAACCCGGAUUAAUACCUCGUAACCUAGUGGAGUGGCAUCACUUUAUUAGUAUAGCUCCGGCGGUUUUGGAUGGGCGUGCGCCUGAUUAGGUAGUUGGUGAGGGUAACGGCCCACCAAGCCUGCGAUCAGUAACUGGUGUGAGAGCACGACCAGUCACACGGGCACUGAGACACGGGCCCGACUCCUACGGGAGGCAGCAGUAAGGAAUAUUGGUCAAUGGACGCAAGUCUGAACCAGCCAUGCCGCGUGAAGGAUGAAGGUCCUCUGGAUUGUAAACUUCUUUUAUAUGGGACGAAACCCGGGAAUUCCUUCCCGAUUGACGGUACCAUAAGAAUAAGCACCGGCUAACUCCGUGCCAGCAGCCGCGGUAAUACGGAGGGUGCAAGCGUUAUCCGGAUUCACUGGGUUUAAAGGGUGCGUAGGAGGGUAGGUAAGUCAGUGGUGAAAUCUUCGAGCUUAACUCGGAAACUGCCGUUGAUACUAUCUAUCUUGAAUACCGUGGAGGUGAGCGGAAUAUGUCAUGUAGCGGUGAAAUGCUUAGAUAUGACAUAGAACACCAAUUGCGAAGGCAGCUCGCUACACGAAUAUUGACUCUGAGGCACGAAAGCGUGGGGAUCAAACAGGAUUAGAUACCCUGGUAGUCCACGCCCUAAACGAUGGAUACUCGACAUACGCGAUACACAGUGUGUGUCUGAGCGAAAGCAUUAAGUAUCCCACCUGGGAAGUACGACCGCAAGGUU
rnacentral:rRNA from 1 species